CAGUAGCCGCGGGAAUACGAAGGGUGCAAGCGUUACUCGGAAUUACUGGGCGUAAAGCGUGCGUAGGUGGUGGUUUAAGUCCGUUGUGAAAGCCCUGGGCUCAACCUGGGAAUUGCAGUGGAUACUGGGUCACUAGAGUGUGGUAGAGGAUAGUGGAAUUUCCGGUGUAGCAGUGAAAUGCGUAGAGAUCGGAAGGAACAUCUGUGGCGAAGGCGACUAUCUGGGCCAACACUGACACUGAGGCACGAAAGCGUGGGGAGCAAACAGGAUUAGAUACCCGCGUAGUCCCUGUCUCUUAUAA
rnacentral:rRNA from 1 species